GGCCCAGGUGGCCGAGGGCCGCGAGCAGCUGGCGGCGCUGGAGGCGGCGCUGGCCGAGCUGCCGCGCCGGCGCCAGGCGAUCGUGAUCGCGGCGCGGGUCG
rnacentral:tRNA from 1 species